rnacentral:precursor_RNA from 10 species
UUUUCGGUGCGGAGACUUUUCCUGUAAGUGUUGCGUAGGCGUUGUGCACAGUCGGAACUGACAUCACUGUGUAUUUUGUCUACACAGCAUCCAUCAAGGAACUACAUCGACUUAGGAGG